rnacentral:snRNA from 1 species
GGAUGUGAGGGCGAUCUGGCUGCGACAUCUGUCACCCCAUUGAUCGCCAGGGUUGAUUCAGCUGAUCUGGCUGGCUAGGCGGGUGUCCUCUUCCUCCCUCACUGCUCCAUGUGCGUUCUUCCCGAAGCUGUGCACUUGGUCGAAGAGGACGACCAUCCCCGAUAGAGGAGGACCAUUCUUCAGUCAAGGGUAUAUGAGUAGCUGCGCUCCCCUGCUAGAGCCUCCAAACAAGCUCUUAAAAGGAAUUAUUCCAUCUGAAAAACUGGGAGAAAAGUGAUUAAUGUAAUAAACAGAGCCUCAGAAAUCCAUGG